rnacentral:rRNA from 15 species
AGAGUUUGAUCAUGGCUCAGAUUGAACGCUGGCGGCAGGCCUAACACAUGCAAGUCGAGCGGUAGCACAGAGAGCUUGCUCUCGGGUGACGAGCGGCGGACGGGUGAGUAAUGUCUGGGAAACUGCCUGAUGGAGGGGGAUAACUACUGGAAACGGUAGCUAAUACCGCAUAACGUCGCAAGACCAAAGUGGGGGACCUUCGGGCCUCAUGCCAUCAGAUGUGCCCAGAUGGGAUUAGCUAGUAGGUGGGGUAACGGCUCACCUAGGCGACGAUCCCUAGCUGGUCUGAGAGGAUGACCAGCCACACUGGAACUGAGACACGGUCCAGACUCCUACGGGAGGCAGCAGUGGGGAAUAUUGCACAAUGGGCGCAAGCCUGAUGCAGCCAUGCCGCGUGUGUGAAGAAGGCCUUCGGGUUGUAAAGCACUUUCAGCGGGGAGGAAGGCGAUAAGGUUAAUAACCUUGUCGAUUGACGUUACCCGCAGAAGAAGCACCGGCUAACUCCGUGCCAGCAGCCGCGGUAAUACGGAGGGUGCAAGCGUUAAUCGGAAUUACUGGGCGUAAAGCGCACGCAGGCGGUCUGUCAAGUCGGAUGUGAAAUCCCCGGGCUCAACCUGGGAACUGCAUUCGAAACUGGCAGGCUAGAGUCUUGUAGAGGGGGGUAGAAUUCCAGGUGUAGCGGUGAAAUGCGUAGAGAUCUGGAGGAAUACCGGUGGCGAAGGCGGCCCCCUGGACAAAGACUGACGCUCAGGUGCGAAAGCGUGGGGAGCAAACAGGAUUAGAUACCCUGGUAGUCCACGCCGUAAACGAUGUCGAUUUGGAGGUUGUGCCCUUGAGGCGUGGCUUCCGGAGCUAACGCGUUAAAUCGACCGCCUGGGGAGUACGGCCGCAAGGUUAAAACUCAAAUGAAUUGACGGGGGCCCGCACAAGCGGUGGAGCAUGUGGUUUAAUUCGAUGCAACGCGAAGAACCUUACCUGGUCUUGACAUCCACAGAACUUUCCAGAGAUGGAUUGGUGCCUUCGGGAACUGUGAGACAGGUGCUGCAUGGCUGUCGUCAGCUCGUGUUGUGAAAUGUUGGGUUAAGUCCCGCAACGAGCGCAACCCUUAUCCUUUGUUGCCAGCGGUCCGGCCGGGAACUCAAAGGAGACUGCCAGUGAUAAACUGGAGGAAGGUGGGGAUGACGUCAAGUCAUCAUGGCCCUUACGACCAGGGCUACACACG